rnacentral:rRNA from 1 species
GACGAACGCUGGCGGCGUGCUUAAUACAUGCAAGUAGGACGCAGUUGCGAGCGGGUGAGUAACGCUUAGGUAACUACCUAGUAGAGGGGGAUAACUAUUGGAAACGAUAGCGAAUACCGCAUACUAGUAGAUGGACCUGCGUUGUAUUAGUUAGUAGGUAGGGUAAUGGCCUACCGAGGCAACGAUACAUUGCCGACCUGAGGGGUGGGUACGCCACACUGGGACCGAGAAACGGCCCAGACUCCUAAGGGAGGGAGCAAGAGGGAAAUAUCGGCAAUGGGGGGAACCCUGACCGAGCAACGCCGCGUUAGUGAAGAAGGGUUUCGGAUCGGAAAGCUCUGUUGUUAAGGAAGCGUUACUUAACCAGAAAGGGACGGCUAACUACGUGCCAGCAGCCGCGGUAAUUC